GACGAGCCUCACAAACGUUAUUCGGAAUUACUGGGCUUAAAGGGUGCGUAGGCGGCGCGGAAAGUUGGGUGUGAAAUCCCUCGGCUCAACCGAGGAACUGCGCCCAAAACUACCGUGCUCGAGGAAGAUAGAGGUGAGCGGAACUUACGGUGGAGCGGUGAAAUGCGUUGAUAUCGUAAGGAACACCCGUGGCGAAAGCGGCUCACUGGGUCUUCUCUGACGCUGAUGCACGAAAGCUAGGGGAGCAAACGGG
rnacentral:rRNA from 2 species